rnacentral:lncRNA from 1 species
AUGGCUGUCUUUGAGAGAAAAUAGCGCUAAGAUUGGCACUAAACCCUAAAAUCACGGUUUCAACCCAACUGUUGGGUCCCUGAUGGAAGCUUCCUCUCUGGGCUUUACCACUCCCCCAAAGUCUUCUGAGCAUGUGUAAAGCUUCUACCGUAGCCAUCCAAUCCUUUGAUGCCAGGUCUGACUUUGGUAGAGUCCAGAAAAGGAAAUUGAGAAGCUGGGUGUGUUGCUAGAAAGACGAGUGUGAUAAGGACCAA